UGGGGAAUAUUGGACAAUGGGCGAAAGCCUGAUCCAGCCAUGCCGCGUGUGUGAAGAAGGUCUUCGGAUUGUAAAGCACUUUAAGUUGGGAGGAAGGGUUGUAAAUUAAUACUCUGCUGUUUUGACGUUACCGACAGAAUAAGCACCGGCUAACUCUGUG
rnacentral:rRNA from 1 species